GCACCUAUAGACUUUAACAUAACUUAUUAACACAUAUUGCUUUUUCACUAGCAUUUUCAGGUUAAAGAAUAUUACUACUACUAGUUAAUGUCUAUUGAAUACUUUUAUUGAUCAUGACGUUUCUUCUCAGCACUUUGCAUGUGCUAUCUCCUUUCAUCCCCAGAACAUUCAUACUAUUAUUAUCCUCAUUUUACAGAUGAGGACACGGAUGCACAGAAAAUCUAAAUAACUUCCCCGAAGUCCCACAACUUAUGAGUGGUAGGGAUGGGAUAAACCCAGAUAGUCUCACAUUAUAACACAAUUGGAUUGACCCAUGCUUAGGGCUCUCAGAGGAGGGUAUAUAUUGGUACAGUGAUUGGGAUGUAUGAUCCAGCUGGAACUAGGAAGAGAUGAAGAUGGAAGGAAAAAAUACAUGGGCUAAAAAACUGGACAUUUUGAUGAGUUCAAAGUAUGAGUCCUAGUAGUAACUAGCAGUAGGAUAGGAAAUAAAAGAGAUUUUUUACCAGAUAGCUGCAGGUUGUAUUUAAGAUUUCAGUUCAAGUUACAACGAGACCUAAGGUAUGGUCACAGAAGUAAGUAGCUGAGAUAGAAGAAAGAAGUGAAGGUCCUUAGAGAUACAGUUGGCAAAGCAGUGAGAGGCUAAGGUAUCCUUUGGGAUGUUCAUCUGGGAACUUAAUUCACCUCAAAUUAUGUCGAUAAUUAAGGGCAGCAGAGAAAUGCCCUGAGUUAUAUCCCCAAUUCUGUAUAAAAUGGAUGGAGAGAUUUCCAGUUUAAGAUGCCAUAUUGAACAUAUACAUUGAUCUCUUUGCCUUUGGAAACUCCAUUAAGCUGAUUGUAAAGGACGAAAAGGAUACUGACAUGACAAUGAAGAGACUGAAGAAGUAUCAUCAAUGGAUAAAGCAAAACAGAAAUAGCAGCUGCCUGGACCACGCCUAGAAAGGAAUCCUUUUGCCUGGCAGAAGCAUGAAACAGUUCCAUAUUUGAGAUGGCAUUUACCACUGAGGAAAGGAACUCAAGGGUGUAUUUCAGCAAAAUAAAGAAGUAAAGUACUAGAGCCAUCACUCAGAGAGCAAAUGACGAGACCAGAUGCUAACAACAAACGUUGUGUGACUUCCUAUCUCCAGCCACUUCUGAAGUCAGAUCUACUUUCUUGAAUGCAGCUUCAGUGUCACUCCUUCUAAGAGACCUUCCUCAACCACCCAGUUGAAAGUAUCCAUCUAGUCUAUGCAGCCAUAAAAAAGGAUGAAUUCAUGUCCUUUGUAGGGAAAUGGAUGAAACUGAAAACCAUCAUU